CCUGGUUUUGACAGCGCUAGUAGCGGUAGGUGUAAGCAUGCAGCGCGUUGUGUAAUUAGCGCUUAAAUCUGAAUACUCAAAAUUCAAAUGGCAACAGACAGUUUGCUAUGGCUGCCUAAUUAGUUAAUUAGACAACCGUUCGGGCCGCGUUGAGCAGGUCGUCCUGAUACCAGGCUCCGCCGCCGACUCAAAAUCAAACACAGGAUGCUGUCACCUCAGGCUGUGCCGGUGACAAAAGAUUUAUUCAGCUAAGGAAAAGGUUGGUUGGUUCUUUCCCUGCCUUUUUCCGACAAGUAAUAAAGAACUAAGCAUGUAGAAAGCUUAUGGUA
rnacentral:tmRNA from 1 species